rnacentral:rRNA from 1 species
AGGGUUUGAUCAUGGCUCAGAACGUACGCUGGCGGCACGCCUAACACAUGCAAGUCGAACGAAGUAGCAAUACUUAGUGGCAGACGGGUGAGUAACAUGUAGGUAUCUACCCUUUGGCCUGGAAUAACACGAGGAAACUUGUGCUAAUACCGGAUAAGUCUUUACGGAGAAAGCUUUAUGCACCAUUGGAUGAGCCUGCACUUGAUUAGUUUGUUGGUGGGGUAAUGGCCUACCAAGACUGUGAUCAAUAGCUGAUUUGAGAGGAUGAUCAGCCACAUUGGGACUGAGACACGGCCCAAACUCCUACGGGAGGCAGCAGUGGGGAAUCUUGCACAAUGGAGGAAACUCUGAUGCAGCGAUGCCGCGUGAGUGAAGAAGGCCUUUGGGUUGUAAAGCUCUUUCGUCGGGGAAGAAAAUGACUGUACCCGAAUAAGAAGGUCCGGCUAACUUCGUGCCAGCAGCCGCGGUAAUACGAAGGGACCUAGCGUAGUUCGGAAUUACUGGGCUUAAAGAGUUCGUAGGUGGUUGAAAAAGUUGGUGGUGAAAUCCCAGAGCUUAACUCUGGAACUGCCAUCAAAACUUUUCAGCUAGAGUAUGAUAGAGGAAAGCAGAAUUUCUAGUGUAGAGGUGAAAUUCGUAGAUAUUAGAAAGAAUACCAA